GCUCUCAUAGUUUAAUGGAUAGAAUAGGACACUCCUAACGUUCUGAUCCAGGUUCGACUCCUGGUGAGGGCA
rnacentral:tRNA from 1 species